rnacentral:rRNA from 1 species
UGGGGAAUAUUGGACAAUGGGCGCAAGCCUGAUCCAGCCAUGCCGCGUGAGUGAUGAAGGCCCUAGGGUUGUAAAGCUCUUUCACCGGAGAAGAUAAUGACGGUAUCCGGAGAAGAAGCCCCGGCUAACUUCGUGCCAGCAGCCGCGGUAAUACGAAGGGGGCUAGCGUUGUUCGGAAUUACUGGGCGUAAAGCGCACGUAGGCGGACAUUUAAGUCAGGGGUGAAAUCCCAGAGCUCAACUCUGGAACUGCCUUUGAUACUGGGUGUCUUGAGUAUGGAAGAGGUGAGUGGAAUUCCGAGUGUAGAGGUGAAAUUCGUAGAUAUUCGGAGGAACACCAGUGGCGAAGGCGGCUCACUGGUCCAUUACUGACGCUGAGGUGCGAAAGCGUGGGGAGCAAACA